GAGAAGAACGUAGCGAAAUGCGAUAAGUAAUGUGAAUUGCAGAAUUCAGUGAAUCAUCGAAUCUUUGAACGCACAUUGCGCCCCUUGGUAUUCCGAGGGGCAUGCCUGUUCGAGCGUCAUUAUAACCCUCAAGCUCAGCUUGGUGUUGGGGCCUGCUGCACUGGCAGCCCUUAAAAUCAGUGGCGGCGCCAUCUGGCUCUAAGCGUAGUAAUUCUUCUCGCUAUGGAGUCCUGGUGGAUGCUUGCCAUCAACCCCCAAUUUUUCUAUGGUUGACCUCGGAUCAGGUAGGGAUACCCGCUGAACUUAAGCAUAUCAAUAAGCGGAGGA
rnacentral:misc_RNA from 1 species